rnacentral:lncRNA from 1 species
CUCCUGACCUCAGGUAAUCCACCCACCUCAGCCUCCCAAAGUGCUGGGACUACAGGCGCCCGCCACCACGCCCAGCUACUUUUUUGUAUUUUUAGUAGAGAUGGAGUAUCACCAUGUUAGCCAGGAUGGUCUCGGUCUUCUGACCUCGUGAUCCGCCCACCUCGGCCUCCCAAAGUGCUGGGAUUACAGGUGUGAGCCACCACGCCCGGCCAAAAAUACUUCUUAAUCAGACUUUACUUAUCUCCUUCCCACCAACUCCUGCGCUUUGAGCUACCUUCAGUCUGAGCCAACACAAAGUGCUGGGAUUACAGGCGUGAGCCACUGCACCUGGCCCUGUUUAAUCUUUGCAUUAAGAGCAUAAUUAUUAUGUAACAUUCUAAUUUCUUUCAUAAUUUUCUUCACAUAUUUUUGGAAUUAUACCCUUAGUUGUUUCUCUAAUUCUUACAAUUAGAGAUGGAGUCUCGCUCUGUCGCCAGGCUGGAGUGCAGUGGCACGAUCUCAGCUCACUGCAACCUCAGCCGAUGUGUUGUCUGCAAGACAGAGGACUUUGCAUAUGUAAGUCUGAUAGAGGUAGCAUUUUUCUAAUUCCCACAAAGGUGCUUUUGGUCUAAUUCUGACUGUGAAAAAACUAGAGACCACUGGAGAAUAUAUGUAGAAGACACCCUGAAUCACUUCAACCACGGGCAUACAUUGGGAAAUCUGGCAUUGUGUUCUAUUUAUUGUAAUGUUUUGGUUAUUGGGAGGUAUUGGUUUUGCUGCCAAAGACUAAGACCACACAAUCUACCAGGCCAAAGUUAUCGGGAAAAGUGAGCUCACACAGAAUAAUUUAAAACCCAGUUAUUCCUAUUGUGUUUUCCAGUAAUUCUGUUCAGUUUUUCCUUUUGUGGCUCCAUUUCUAAUUAUCAGAAAGCUAGGACUUGUCAUUCUUAUAGAGUUUACAUUAAAAUUAUGGGUCUGGAGGGGGAUGAGCUAAUGGCAUGGCUUCCUUGUAAGUAUAUAUUGGGGGCCUCAUCCCUCAUGCAUAGACUCACUUCAGGACUCAUUUGGGUAAAUGUCUAUUUGUCAGCAUUAUUAAAAGUGAGAGUUCAAGACUCAGGUAAGUGAUUGAAUGAGGUAGAAUUUUCUCAAUAAAAUGCUAAAAUAAUUCCCUUCUAAUAAUUUCAGUAAUAUAUCUUAGUGAGUAAUAGCUAAAUGCAGUAGAAGUUUCCAAAUUAAAAGAUCAAUUUCAUGAAUUUUAUUAGGCUAUAAAUUUUGAAAGGAUUUUAAAAAUUUUGAAAGAAUUUGUAAUAUUACCUUUGAAUUAGAAUUGCAUUUUACAUUUUAUCAUUUUUCUAAUUUUAAUUUACAGUAUAUAUAAAACUAAAAUUUUGAAUGUUAUUAUAAAAGAUAGCGGAACUUGUUCAGAAUUCAGUCAUUCUUUCUUCUUCCUUUUUUUUUUUGAGACAGAUUUUCGCUCUUGUUGCCCAGGCUGGAGUACAAUGGGGUGAUCUCAGCUCACUGCCACCUCCGCCUCCCUGGUUCAAGCGAUUCUCCUGCCUCAGCCUACUGGGUAGCUGGGAUUACAGGCGCUUGCCACCUUGCCCGGCUAAUUUUUGUAUUUUUAACUCCUGACCUCAGGUGAUCCACCUGCCUCGGCCUCCCAAAGUGCUAGGAUUACAAGUGUGAGCCACAGCACCCGCCCAUUUUUUUUCAGAAUUGGAAAUACUUUAGUAUAUUUAUACUCUUUACAACCAUCUAAAAUUGAAAUGUAGUAAACCAUAAGAUUAUUAUUCAACCUUUCUCAUUUAUUAGCUUGUAGCAGAUAACCAUAAAAAAUGUUUAAUUCUGUUACAGCAAUUGCUAAUACAAAAAUGUUCUAGUUUUUAUAAACUAGAAAUAUCUGCAUUUGGCAUUUACUAAAUUUUUGUGGAGUUAGUUACUAAAUAACAGAUAUAGAAGCUUUUAAUAGUAAGCAUAAUUAUAAACAUAAAUUCAGUUAUAGUAUUUCAUAUCUCAUCACA